rnacentral:rRNA from 1 species
GAGCGGUAACAGGCGUAGCAAUACGUGCUGACGAGCGGCGAACGGGUGAGUAAUGCUUCGGAAUCUACCCAAUGGUGGGGAAUAACCAGCCGAAAGGUUGGCUAAUACCGCAUACGUCCUACGGGAGAAAGCAGGGGAUCGUAAGACCUUGCGCCAAUGGAUGAGCCGAAGUCGGAUUAGCUAGUUGGUAGGGUAACGGCCUACCAAGGCGACGAUCCGUAGCUGGUCUGAGAGGACGACCAGCCACACUGGGACUGAGACACGGCCCAGACUCCUACGGGAGGCAGCAGUGGGGAAUAUUGGACAAUGGGGGAAACCCUGAUCCAGCGACGCCGCGUGUGUGAAGAAGGCCUGCGGGUUGUAAAGCACUUUUAGUGGGGAUGAAAAGUUCAGGGCUAAUACCCCUGGAUCUUGACCUAACCCACAGAANAAGCACCGGCUAACUCUGUG